GACGAACGCUGGCGGCGUGCUUAACACAUGCAAGUCGAACGGAGCUGUUUUGAUUGAUUUCUCCGCAAUGUGUUAGAUUUGCUUAGGGGCGGAAUGGGGAACUACCCGGGAAGAACCCUCCUUUCAGAGGGGGAAUACCGUUCGAAACAACUGGUAAUACCCCAUGAACCUUUUUGAUCCCGUGGACUGAGAGCCAAAAAUUUUUCUCUGAAGAAUAGCCUCUCGCCUGAUAUUCUUUUUGGGGGGAGGUCGCCCCUCCCCAGCAACGAUAUCUGUCCCGAGAGAGAGGUUGACCGCCCCCAUUGUGACAGAGAUACACCCCCCACACCCCCAGGAGGCGCAGGUGGGGAAUAAUAGUGCGCUGGGCGCACACCCCACCACAGCAACAGCGCCGUGAAGAAAGAAGAGCUGUUCUCGUAUUGUACUUCUUUUUUUAUGAGAAGAGUAGAAUACGGUACCUAUUGAAUAAGCUCCGGCUAACUACGUGCCAGCAGCCGCGGUAAUACGUAGGGAGCAAGCGUUGUCCGGAUUUACUGGGUGUAAAGGGUGUGUAGCCGGGCAUGCAAGUCAGAUGUGAAAUCUCUGGGCUCAACCCAUAAGCUGCAUUUGAAACUGUAGAUCUUGAGUGCAGUAGAGGCAGUCGGAAUUCCCUGUGUAGCGGUGAAAUGCGUAGAGAUGGGGAGGAACACCAGUGGCGAAGGCGGCUUGCUGGGCGGUAACUGACGGUGAGGCGCGAAAGCGUGGGUAGCGAACAGGAUUAGAUACCCUGGUAGUCCACGCUGUAAACGAUGAUUACUAGGUGUGCGGGGUCUGACCCCCUCCGUGCCGCAGUUAACACAAUAAGUAUUCCACCUGGGGAGUACGAUCGCAAGGUUGAAACUCAAAGGAAUUGACGGGGGCCCGCACAAGCAGUGGAGUAUGUGGUUUAAUUCGAAGCAACGCGAAGAACCUUACCAGGUCUUGACAUCCAACUAACGAAGUAGAGAUACAUUAGGUGCCCUUCGGGGAAAGCAGAGACAGGUGGUGCAUGGUUGUCGUCAGCUCGUGUCGUGAGAUGUUGGGUUAAGUCCCGCAACGAGCGCAACCCUUAUUAUUAGUUGCUACGCAAGAGCACUCUAAUGAGACUGCCGUUGACAAAACGGAGGAAGGUGGGGACGACGUCAAAUCAUCAUGCCCCUUAUGACCUGGGCUACACACGUAAUACAAUGGAGUCAACAAAGGGAAGCAAAACAGCGAGGCAGAGCGAACCCCAUAAAAACAUUCUCAGUUCGGAUUGCAGGCUGCAACCCGCCUGCAUGAAGUUGGAAUUGCUAGUAAUCGUGGAUCAGCAUACCGCGGUGAAUACGUUCCCGGGCCUUGCACA
rnacentral:rRNA from 1 species